CCACCAGACUCGCCACCCCUGGGGUCCUCCAACGUCCCUGUCGCGCGGCCCUUAGUGACCAACCUGAGCGCUACGAAGGGUCAACAGCCCGCUGCGCUCCCUCUGAAGAGAGGCCUCCGCCUGGCCCCUCUAGAUGAGGAAACAGAGGCUCCGAGGGAGUGGAGGACGCAGCCCGUACCCCACAGAUGGGUGAGCGCAGGAAGCAGGAGGAGGAACCCACACCAUCGUGUGCCAGCGCCCCAACUCAACCAGCAGGCUAGAAACUUCUGUGGAAGGGCUGCAAGCUGCUUUUCUUUCAGGCUGAGGGCUGCCUUUGGCCCAGCUUCCCUCCCCGAAGCUGAGUAAUCUAGAAAAAUUGCAGCCAGGCAUAGAGGAACGCGCGCAGGGGCCAGCCUGGAUCACGUCCUCAAGCUCGGUUCUUGGCAAGCUCACUCCUGUAAGUGUGGAGCUGUUUAGACCGGAGGACGACAAGCAACAGACGCCUCUAGAGGAUCAGGCCCGCCAAUGGGUAGAGCCACACUGGGAGUCCGGGCCCAGUCCGGGCCCAGACCCGGCCCAGACCCAGCCUGGGCCGUCAGUCUCUAAUUUCAGAUAAAAGGAAAAAGACCUCUUCA